rnacentral:rRNA from 1 species
AAAGACCCAUCUUUAACCAAGGUUGACCUCGGAUCAGGUAGGAAUACCCGCUGAACUUAAGCAUAUCAAUAAGCGGAGGAAAAGAAACCAACAGGGAUUGCCCUAGUAACGGCGAGUGAAGCGGCAACAGCUCAAAUUUGAAAUCUGGCUUCGGCCCGAGUUGUAAUUUGUAGAGGAUGCUUUUGGUGAGGUGCCUUCUGAGUUCCCUGGAACGGGACGCCAGAGAGGGUGAGAGCCCCGUAUAGUCGGCCACCGAUCCUUUGUAAAGCUCCUUCGACGAGUCGAGUAGUUUGGGAAUGCUGCUCAAAAUGGGAGGUAUAUCUCUUCUAAAGCUAAAUAUAGGCCAGAGACCGAUAGCGCACAAGUAGAGUGAUCGAAAGAUGAAAAGCACUUUGAAAAGAGGGUUAAAUAGCACGUGAAAUUGUUGAAAGGGAAGCGCUUGUGACCAGACUUGUGCCGGGCUGAUCAUCCAGUGUUCUCACUGGUGCACUCGACCCGGCUCAGGCCAGCGUCGGUUUUCGUGGGGGGAUAAAAGCUUCGGGAACGUGGCACCUUCGGGUGUGUUAUAGCCCGUUGCUUAAUACCUCCGUGGAGACCGAGGUUCGC